CAUAAUCGAGCAUUUCAAUAUCAACAUCCUGGGAAAUAACUCUCCCUGAACACUGCCCAAAUGGUUUGAGGAACUCUAGGCUCUGCCCCAUGAUGUACAGUCUCUUUCCACAGUGUCAACAAAAGCGUUCUGGACUUGAGUUUGCAUCUCCGCUUUCUUAUACCUUCUCAGAGUUCAGUGGACAGUGACUGAGGAGACAAACCACACAGGAGAUAUUU
ensembl:snoRNA SNORA73 Small nucleolar RNA SNORA73 family